rnacentral:misc_RNA from 1 species
UAAUUGCCUGUCAGGCGUCCGCACAAGUGACCUGCAUCCAGGAGUUCCACGGCUAGCGCCGGGGGACCGACCCCUUUUGGGGCCAUAGCUCAGCUGGGAGAGCACCUGCUUUGCAAGCAGGGGGUCGUCGGUUCGAUCCCGACUGGCUCCACCACGCUGGGGAAGACAUUGGGUCUGUAGCUCAGGUGGUUAGAGCGCACCCCUGAUAAGGGUGAGGCCGGUGGUUCGAGUCCUCCCAGACCCACCAUUCCUGGAUGUCGAUUGCGCACACAUAAAGAUUUGAAUCGGAUUGGCAUCGUGGCCGGUCCGUGUUCUUUGAAAACCAGGGACGUAGCGAGCGUUUGAGACGAAUAUCCAGACGUGUCGUAGAGGNUAAGGCGGGGCCCUAGAGGCCCUACAUUUGAAGUUGUCGUAUCUAUUCGCGACGAAUGAUCCCGAGGCGACUUGGGGUUAUAUGGUCAAGCGAAUAAGCGCACACGGUGGAUGCCUUGGCGGUCAGAGGCGAUGAAGGACGUGGCAGCCUGCGAAAAGUGUCGGGGAGCUGGCAACAAGCUUUGAUCCGGCAAUGUCCGAAUGGGGAAACCCGG